rnacentral:rRNA from 1 species
GGACCCGCACAAGCGGUGGAUGAUGUGGAUUAAUUCGAUGCAACGCGAAAAACCUUACCUACCCUUGACAUGUCUGGAAUCCUUUAGAGAUAGAGGAGUGCUCGCAAGAGAACCGGAACACAGGUGCUGCAUGGCUGUCGUCAGCUCGUGUCGUGAGAUGUUGGGUUAAGUCCCGCAACGAGCGCAACCCUUGUCAUUAGUUGCCAGCAUUCAGUUGGGCACUCUAAUGAGACUGCCGGUGACAAACCGGAGGAAGGUGGGGAUGACGUCAAGUCCUCAUGGCCCUUAUGGGUAGGGCUUCACACGUCAUACAAUGGUCGGGACAGAGGGUUGCCAAACCGCGAGGUGGAGCCAAUCUCAGAAACCCGAUCGUAGUCCGGAUUGCAGGCUGCAACUCGCCUGCAUGAAGUCGGAAUCGCUAGUAAUCGCGGAUCAGCAUGUCGCGGUGAAUACGUUCCCGGGUCUU